GCUAUGUAAAUUCUGACCUAAAAUACUAGUAAGCCAAUCGUCUCAUACCUCGCAUAAAACGACAGCCAAUCAGUGCUUAUGAUACAAAUUUCAAAUCUGUCAGUUGGAGUGGACGUCACUCUAUGUUUAAGCAUUGCAGAGUGUGCACUGUGCAAUCUAAUCUUACCGUUCUAUAAAAUGUCCACGGUUUCUGGAACCAUGAAAAAGGAGACAAUGAGAACUUAGCCAUCAUCCUCAGGGAAAAGUACGGCCGGAAGAAUUACCUCCUUGCUCCCAAGCAGACUCCAAGAAAAAAACUACCGCUAGGCUGAGCAGAAACAUACACGGGGAACCCUGCCAGAUAGCCCGACGCCACCCGGCGUCUCUCGCCAAGGACGGAAGAUUUUUCAUCAAAUGGAGAGGGGACACAGAAGGCAAGACAGCCCGACCGGACGUAGAACAUACACACAAGAGACAAAUCCCCGAGCCCACUGAAAGCGUCGAGGGGAGAGCUACUGACAGCGCAGUUCUUGUUGUGGAAACAUCGGAGAAGAAGGAUCAAACAGCGUGUUUAUAGUAAAGCAAGUGCAUUGUGUAAUUUCAUCUGGGUUUACCAGUAAACAAACGUCCGUGCCAGGUGUGCAU